CUUACCCCGGACAGGUGCAGAUCUGAUAAGAGGUUGGCACACGCGCGCCGAGCCUCGUUUACAAUCUGUUUUGCAACUUCCCUAUCUAGAUAAACAUUGUCCAACAACUUCUUAAAAAAAAAAAGUCGUGUUUACUUGUCCUGUUUCUAAGAUUUCCCCCACCCGCUUCUUCUUCUAAAUGUUCCCUCAGGAUGCUGGCUUGCAGACUAGAGAAAGCUUGGAUUUCAGCUCUGGUCUCCAAGGGUGAACAGGAGAGUCUCCAAUAUUGCUAAAAGAAUCCUGAGUAGUGCCUGGUUAUCAGCAUAGCGACCCAUUCGGGGCACUUAAUUCUGCUGCCGCUUGAACACUGGAGAGGUUGAAACAUGGACAUUAGUGGUUGGAAGCAAACACCAAAGUUGGAGAUUAACAUUUGGAGAAAAACUCAGAAAUCUGUACGGUUCUUUCAUAACCACUUAUUGAUACUGUUUAACCCCUGGAAAGCUUGGAAGGGCAAACGUGGAAAGCAAUGGAGGAGCUAUUUUGAUGACUAAUAAAAACAGGACUGAUAAAGCAUCAGAGCACAUGUGGGGUGAGGACUCUAAAUCUGGGCCACAGAUUUGGAAGGACAGACCCCAGGCUCACUUUGGGAGAUGAAAAUCACCCAGUCUCCAUUUCCCUUCGAGUGUAGAGAGCAGAGCAAUAAACUGGACUUGGUAUCAGAGCUGUAGCUCUCCAGGUUGCCUGUGUUC